GUAAAGAUGACAGAGCCUGGCAAUUGCAUAAAACUUAAAACUUUAUAAUCAGAGGUUCAACUCCUCCUCUUAACA
rfam:Papio anubis isolate 1X1155 chromosome 14, whole genome shotgun sequence.